CCCUUAGAUGUCCUGGGCGGCCCGCGCGCUACAAUGUCAGCUACUGAAGGUUAAUGCUUUGAAAGAGAGCGCGCUCUCCUUUUAAUUGCUCGCAUGCUGGGAUAAAUGAAUGCAAUUUUGUUUUGAACGAGGAAUUCCUAGUAGCCAUGUUUCACUAGAAGAUGGCGAAUGCGUCCCUGCCCUUUGUACACACCGCCCGUCGCUCCUACCGAUGAGCGUUUUGGCGAAGACGGUUUGAGUAGCUGCGUAAUUUCGUGUUGUUGACGCCGGCAGUUUGAGCCUUCACGUUUAGAGGAAGGAGAAGUCGUAACA
rnacentral:rRNA from 1 species